UACUGUUUUUCUUUUCCGCCAAUGCACAAGUCUUUGCUUUUACUAAAGACUUCCGUGGAGAGGAACACAAAUGAGUUGAACCUAUUUUUGGUGGGCUCUACGGUUUGGCUGAGCCU